rnacentral:tRNA from 1 species
CAGAGCGUAGCUAAGAAGCAAUAGCAUCUCCCUUACACUGAGAAGGCACCCGUGCAAACCGGGUCGCACUGA